rnacentral:rRNA from 1 species
GACGAACGCUGGCGGCGUGCUUAACACAUGCAAGUCGAACGGAAAGGCCCUGCUUUUGUGGGGUGCUCGAGUGGCGAACGGGUGAGUAACACGUGAGUAACCUGCCCUUGACUUUGGGAUAACUUCAGGAAACUGGGGCUAAUACCGGAUAGGAGCUCCUGCUGCAUGGUGGGGGUUGGAAAGUUUCGGCGGUUGGGGAUGGGCUCGCGGCUUAUCAGCUUGUUGGGGGGGUAGUGGCUUACCAAGGCUUUGACGGGUAGCCGGCCUGAGAGGGUGACCGGCCACAUUGGGACUGAGAUACGGCCCAGACUCCUACGGGAGGCAGCAGUGGGGAAUAUUGCACAAUGGGCGGAAGCCUGAUACAGCAACGCCGCGUGCGGGAUGACGGCCUUCGGGUUGUAAACCGCUUUCGCCUGUGACGAAGCGUGAGUGACGGUAAUGGGUGAAGAAGCACCGGCUAACUACGUG